rnacentral:lncRNA from 1 species
ACAUCUCUUGGAGUUCUAGCUCACCUUUCUGGUGUUGUUCUUGUACUCAUCUGUUUAAUCUAGUUCUGCCACUUCUUCUUGAACUUCUUGUUAGAUUUCAAGUCUGUAUUUUGUGUCCGUGACAGUUUGUCAAGACUACACUAACUUGAGAUAUGAGAGCUAGUUCUUUCUUAGUAGAGUGUGGAUUAUCCCUCUACUUGAAGGUAUACUAGCAUUUUUUAGAGGUUGCGGAUUAUCCUCCUCUAAAUUGAUACUUC